rnacentral:rRNA from 1 species
UUGAACGCUGGCGGCAUGCCUUACACAUGCAAGUCGAACGGCAGCGCGGACUUCGGUCUGGCGGCGAGUGGCGAACGGGUGAGUAACAUAUCGGAACGUGCCAGGAAGUGGGGGAUAACUAGUCGAAAGAUUAGCUAAUACCGCAUACGCCCCGAGGGGGAAAGUGGGGGAUCGCAAGACCUCACGCUUGCUGAGCGGCCGAUAUCUGAUUAGCUAGUUGGUAGGGUAAAAGCCUACCAAGGCGACGAUCAGUAGCUGGUCUGAGAGGACGACCAGCCACACUGGGACUGAGACACGGCCCAGACUCCUACGGGAGGCAGCAGUGGGGAAUUUUGGACAAUGGGGGCAACCCUGAUCCAGCAAUGCCGCGUGAGUGAAGAAGGCCUUCGGGUUGUAAAGCUCUUUUGUCCGGGAAGAAAUCCCAUCUGUUAAUACCGGGUGGGGAUGACGGUACUGGAAGAAUAAGCACCGGCUAACUACGU